GACAGAGGGUGCAAACGUUGCUCGGAAUCACUGGGCGUAAAGGGCUCGUAGGCGGUUUGUCGCGUCGGGAGUGAAAACCAGGUGCUUAACACCUGGCUUGCUUUCGAUACGGGCAGACUAGAGGUAUUCAGGGGAGAACGGAAUUCCUGGUGUAGCGGUGAAAUGACGCAGAUAUCAGGAGGAACACCGGUGGCGAAGGCGGUUCUCUGGGAAUGACCUGGCGCUGAGGAGCGAAAGUGUGGGGAGCGAACAGG
rnacentral:rRNA from 1 species